rnacentral:rRNA from 1 species
GUUGUAUAGUCAAGUAAUUAAGUGCAUGUGGUGGAUGCCUUGGCAGUCAGAGGCGAUGAAAGACGUGAUAGCCUGCGAAAAGCUCCGGGGAGGCGGCAAAUAUCCUUUGAUCCGGAGAUGUCUGAAUGGGGGAACCCACCUACUUUAAGGUAGGUAUUGCAACAUGAAUACAUAGUGUUGCAAGGCGAACGAGGGGAAGUGAAACAUCUCAGUACCCUUAGGAAAAGAAAUCAAUUGAGAUUCCCUCAGUAGCGGCGAGCGAACGGGGGUCAGCCCAUUAAGUUAUGUGUGUUUUAGUGGAACGCUCUGGGAAGUGCGAACGUAGAGGGUGAUAUUCCCGUACACGAAA